rnacentral:lncRNA from 1 species
CAUAACACGUUAUCAGCACGAGACUCUACCGUCUCAAGAAUCCUCUUGAGAAAAUUAAGGUCCGGUCCCACCAAGGGGAGAAAGCGUGAUGGAGGUAACUGAUUUUUGAAGAAUGAAACCAGCCUCACUCCUUGCUCAUGGAGCAGCAUAUUUAUUGCAUGAUAGAGUCCACACAAGCUCUGGUCAUCGCAUUGCAGAUGUGUUUUCUGAAUGUGGAAGAAUCCUAACGGCAUCAGUAACCCGAUCACCAAAAUAAGCUGUGCAAGAAAUUGUUGGUCUUCCACCUGGUAGAGAACCCAAAGAGAAGAGAUGGUAUCAUCAUAAAGUAAUGCAACGGGAUGGAAACUCAAGAGGUAUAUUUAAUAUCACAAAAUUUAUUGGUAUACCUUAAAGGUAAGUAAUUUAUUUUUCCCUUUCAAAUUCUUGAAAUUCUACGAUUUGAUUU